rnacentral:tRNA from 1 species
GGGAUUAGCCAAGUCGGUAAGGCACAUGACUUUGACUCAUGGGGUCACAGGUUCGAGCCCUGUUGGUCCCACCA